rnacentral:rRNA from 1 species
AUUCCAGCUCCGGUAGCGUAUACUAAUGUUGUUGCAGUUGAAAAGCUCGUAGUUGAACUUCUGGUGGGCGAGCCGGGGCCUCGGCGCUUUGCGCCUUGUUGCUCAUGGCUGGCUAGCCAUCCUCGGGGGUUUCGGCCCCCGUCUUUUACUGUAAAAAAAUUAGAGUGUUCCAAGCAGGAGGUAGCUCCUGUAUCUGAUAGUAUGGGAUAAUGAGAUAGGGCUUUUGCGCUAUUUUGUUGGUUUGCACGCAAGAGUAAUGAUGAAUAGGGACAGUUGGGGGUAUUCGUAUUUAAUUGUCAGAGGUGAAAUUCUUGGAUUUAUGAAAGACGAACGACUGCGAAAGCAUUUAUCAUGGAUGUUUUCAUCA